GUACUGUGAGCCUUAGGAACAGACACGUCUGACAAAGAAGUGAAUGCAUCUCUUCACUGUAAUGUGCAAAAGGUACUAAGGAGAUAUCUACUAGUAAGGGUGUUUUAUGCCUUUAAAAUCCUUACCUGAGUACAUUUUUGCUGGAGACUGGGGAGAGGGCGGAUGUUUUCAGCACAGCAGAUAAUAUCAGAGCCUGACAAGAAUUCAUGAAUGGGAGAUGUGGACACCUUAGAAAUGAGUUAUGACUGAGCAUAGCUCACUGAAAGGAAAGAAGAAAAAUCUGUGCAUCUGAGAAUCUACUGCCUAAGCUGUGGCACUGAGCAAUUUUUUUCCUAUGGUUAAUUUUUUGGCUUCAGUAAAUCCAAUCAGAUAGUGAUUUAUUACAAGUUUCUAUUCUGUGUCAUUUCCUCUUCAAUAAUAAUAUUCAAUGAUUCAUUUUCUUGUUGAGAAAGAAAGUCAAUAUUGCAAAUCCAUCCAACUUUCAUACACCAGCUCCUCUGGGACCUUGCACGGUCUAAUGGACUUUGUACUUUCCCUGGUACUCAUGAUACAUCUUCCUUUGCAGGCCAUUGCCUCAGGAAUCCCUUCCCAUCUUCUUUGGUGUCUGCAUCUCCCAGGUAGCCGGAGAUAGGAUGUUAUCUCUGCCAUUGGGAAGGUAAUCCACCGUGCUUCUUAAUCAUUUUUAGCCUUUUGUCAAUAUCCAACCUAGCAAUAUUGCUCUAAAUUGCUAGUACUCAUUUUCUAAGCUCUGUAGUCUGCCGUGACAAAUUCAAAGCCUUUUACAUAUAAAUGUGUCUCAGAAUAAUGGACAGGAGAGGAAGGCACUCUAGAGGAAUACAGGAACAUCAGCAGCAGGACAGAACAAAGCCUAAUAUCCUGAUGCCAACCUUGGCCCACUGUGAAUGCCAAGGGAAGAUUGUCAGAAGAGACACAGCUGGUGACACCCCCCUGCAUCCUGUCCUGUCCCCAGGGAUCUGUCAGCUGGGAGCUUCCUGAGUCCAUUGACCCACAAAAUAUUCAGCUAUGUAGGUUUCCUAAAAGUCAUUACAGGUUCAUUGCAAAUGUAUUUUUGACUAGCUCUUGCCUUUACUUUUAUUUUUAAUCUUUCCUUGGAACUCCUCUGGUGAACACGUCAUGCUCAACAUCUUAUCAUCUCUGAGAUAAUUUAAUUGGCUUGUAUUUUGGGGAAGAAAAAACUCAUAUACAUUUUUUUAGAUUCCAGACCCCUUCCAUCUGUGAUUUAAGAAGGCAAUUAGGUAACUUAUUUGCUGAUAAUGUUUUGAUAAUAUAAUUCUUUUUUACCAAACCAUUAAGUUCUCUAUUCAUUUCACCCAGAAAUGUAUUUUUUUAAUAUACUAUACCCAAAUACCAUCUAGUACUGUGACUACUUAUUGUAAGAAUUUGGGUCUUUCAUACUUCAUUUUUCUUUUACUUAAAGAGUCAUUUUCCUCCUGUCCUCAACAUCAUGAAUCUGAGGUUGACUAUGGACGUGUAGGCUUUUUUCAUGCUCCUUAAUUUUUGUAACAUGUCUAAAUUCAAGAGCAAGUAAGGAUCAAGGCACUACCCAGGGCAGUCCUGGAAGGAAACCUGAGCAGCUGAAGCCCAGCAGUGCCUGUCCCCCAGCUCCCCCCAUCUCAGCAGGCUGGAGUGCCACAAGUGCUGCACGGGCUGCAAUAAGGACUUCUUGAGCUUGAGGUAUAGGGAGAUUUCAGCUGAAGUCUAACACUUUUAAUUAGCAGGGAAUUCAGCCCUGACAGACUGAGUAUUGCUCUGUUCCUCAAGUGUACAAGUUUUACUGCUAAUCUGCAAAUGAUCUGCUUUCAUUCCUCCGUAUGCCUCUCUGCUUCUGUGAGUACCAUCAUUCCAUCACCCUUGUUUCAAAACCUCCUUCAGCAAUUUUUGUAUUUAAUGGGGCGCAUCUCCUUCCAGAGGAGUUGCUGUGGUUUCAGAAGGCCUGGGGAUGGUGGUGGGGCAGAGCCACCUCUAAGUACGGAAAGGAAUUAUUGUGAUUACCCCAGUGCUGAGAAAAGCUGGGCUAUCACCUCGUCCACCCGCUGCCUUGUGCAGCCACAUGGAGACACCAGCUGCAGCUGGAAAGCAGCGACAUCCCUCAACUUGGACACUCCAGGGCAAAUCAGCCCAAGUGCCAUGUGAGGCCACUCUGCGCACAGGCACAGCCAGGCUCUCUGCACACGAGGAUGCCCAGCUGGGUGCUGGACAUUGUCCGUUCAGAGUGAUGGAAGCAAUGGUGGAUGCAGAAAAUGCAAUGCCCCGUGGUGAAACU